rnacentral:rRNA from 1 species
ACUCAACGCCGGGCAGCUCACCGGAUAAGACAGCUGGAUGAUAGCCGGGCUGAAGACUCUGCUUGACUAGCUGAGAGGAGGUGCAUGGCCGUCGUCAGUUCGUACUGUGAAGCAUCCUGUUAAGUCAGGCAACGAGCGAGACCCACGCCAACAGUUGCCAGCAUGUCCUCCGGGAUGAUGGGGACACUGUUGGGACCGCUCUGCUAAAGAGGAGGAAGGAAUGGGCAACGGUAGGUCAGCAUGCCCCGAAUUAUCCGGGCUACACGCGGGCUACAAUGGUCAGGACAAUGGGUAUCGACACCGAGAGGUGGAGGCAAUCUCCUAAACCUGUCCUUAGUUCGGAUUGUGGGCUGCAACUCGCCCACAUGAAGCUGGAAUCCGUAGUAAUCGCGUUUCAAAAUAGCGCGGUGAAUAUGUCCCUGCUCCUU